rnacentral:rRNA from 1 species
CGGGUGAGUAGCGCGUAAAGAACUUGCCUCACAGCUAGGGACAACAUUUGGAAACGAAUGCUAAUACCUAAUAUUAUGAUAAUAGGGCAUCCUAUAAUUAUGAAAGCUAUAAGCGCUGUGAGAGAGCUUUGCGUCCCAUUAGCUAGUUGGAGAGGUAACGGCUCACCAAGGCGAUGAUGGGUAGCCGGCCUGAGAGGGUGAUCGGCCACAAGGGGACUGAGACACGGCCCUUACUCCUACGGGAGGCAGCAGUGGGGAAUAUUGGACAAUGGACCAAGAGUCUGAUCCAGCAAUUCUGUGUGCAAGAUGAAGUUUUUCGGAAUGUAAAGUGCUUUCAGUUGGGAAGAAAGAAAUGACGGUACCAACAGAAGAAGUGACGGCUAAAUACGUGCCAGCAGCCGCGGUAAUACGUAUGUCACGAGCGUUAUCCGGAUUUAUUGGGCGUAAAGCGCGUCUAGGUGGUUAUGUAAGUCUGAUGUGAAAAUGCAGGGCUCAACUCUGUAUUGCGUUGGAAACUGUAUAACUAGAGUACUGGAGAGGUAAGCGGAACUACAAGUGUAGAGGUGAAAUUCGUA